rnacentral:rRNA from 1 species
AUUGAACGCUGGCGGCAGGCUUAACACAUGCAAGUCGAGCGGGGUGAUGGUGCUUGCACUAUCACUUAGCGGCGGACGGGUGAGUAAUGCUUAGGAAUCUGCCUAUUAGUGGGGGACAACAUCUCGAAAGGGAUGCUAAUACCGCAUACGUCCUACGGGAGAAAGCAGGGGAUCACUUGUGACCUUGCGCUAAUAGAUGAGCCUAAGUCGGAUUAGCUAGUUGGUGGGGUAAAGGCCUACGAAGGGGACGAUCUGUAGCGGGUCUGAGAGGAUGAUCCGCCACACUGGGACUGAGACACGGCCCAGACUCCUACGGGAGGCAGCAGUGGGGAAUAUUGGACAAUGGGGGGAACCCUGAUCCAGCCAUGCCGCGUGUGUGAAGAAGGCCUUAUGGUUGUAAAGCACUUUAAGCGAGGAGGAGGCUCUUUUGGUUAAUACCCAGAAUGAGUGGACGUUACUCGCAGAAUAAGCACCGGCUAACUCUGUGCCAGCAGCCGCCGUAA